CUGAGGACAGUCCGAAUGGGAGGCAGGUGAAUCUCCAUUUCCUUCCUUGCCAUAUGAAUUGCAGGAAGUCUUGGUGCUGACGUGCGAUUGGUAUCGUGAGAUAGGCGUCCUGCAGGUCCAACUUGACCAUCCAGUCCAACGGCUGGAGGAGAUCCCGGAGGCAGUGUAUGCCCUCCAUUUUGAAAUGGUUGUAGGCAAUAAAAGUGUUGAGUUGCUUCAAGUUGAUCACUGGGCGGACGCCGCCACCUUUUUUGGCAACUAAGAAUAGGUUGCUUACGUACCCUGGGGUAGUCAUAGGGAUCUCUAAGAUGGCCCGUUUGUGUGCCAAUUCCAAAACCUCCUUGGUUACAAGGGAGGCGUCUUGGUGGGAAAACAGCAUUCCCCGUGGUGGGAAGAGUUGUACCGGGAGGGAUAUGAACUCUAAGGUGUACCCUCUUACCGUGUUCAAUACCCAGGCAUUUGAUGAGAUGUGUGACCAUGCAUGGGAAAAAUGUCAGAGUCUGCCCCCCACUGCCCAUAGGGAAGAAGGAAAUAGGAGAGCACUUACCAUAAGGUCGUCUGCCUGGGCGGGAGCCACGUGGUCCAUGAGCAACCCAUGGUCGCCCACGUUGUGGGAAGAAGACCGGGGUGUUGCGGUGCUCCGUGAAGGAGGCGUGUCCAGUGUAGGAGCCUCGGCUCUGUCGGAAUGAACCCCUAUUGACAUGGCCGGACAGACGGCUCCUGGCUCUUCCGGCCCCACCAAAAACCUUAGGUUGGAAAAUCUUGCGCAUGUUCGAUUGCGCCUUGUCCAGGGCAGUGAAAGUAUGGUCAAAGGAGCCCAGCUCCUUGACAAAAUUGUCUCCGAACAGGAGACCACGGGCCUGGGUGCCCAGUUCGGUUAUAGCCAUGUUCACCAGUUUGGGUUCUAUCUUUAAUAAGAUCGCUUUGCGACGCUCUGUGGCCACCGCACAGUUGGCAUUGCCAAUCAGACAAAUCACCCUUUGUAUCCAACCACUUAUGGCGGAACGAUCUAACUCUUGGUUGCUUUCGACCAUAUCAAAAAUUUUUGUUGCCGGGCCCAAUAUAUCUAAUAUCUUGUUCUGGCAAUUGCGUAGGGAGAAAUCAAGGCCCUUAUUAGGCUUCCAGCCAGUCUUGCCCAAGAAUUGAAUGAUUUUUGGAUCAACUGCAGGUGUUCUGCAGGCCUCGUCAGGGACAGUGGGACGUGGGCAUUCUGCCCGCAGCUUGUUACGUGUUACCUUAUUUAAAGGUUUGCGAGUCCGCGAUGCAACGUAUUUGGCCACAUGGGCCGAAGGGGACCAGUCCACUGACCUUGGAUGACGCAGGUCAUCGGGGUCGAACAGAGGUUCCCCGUAGGGGUCAACUAAUCUGGUUGCAUCGUCUGGGACCUUAAGCUCCAUGUCAUACGAUUCAGAUGGAGGCAUAAUAUGUUCUCUGGGGUCAUGGUCGUCGACCACACCAUCUGACUCGGGAUCUGAUGGAUCCUCCGAAUCCAUAUCGGUCUCCUCUUCAAUCUCGCUGAGAUCUGGCUCAGAUUCUAGUUGGGCUUUUGCCCGUUUCCAUAACCUAGCCGAUUUUGCCCAGCUAGUGGCUCUUUUGCGCGGUGGUAUAUUAGACGCGCCAUCUGUGACAGGUAUGUAGCUGUCCAUCUGUGAGAUUGAAGAGUGUUUUGUUUUUGCAGUGGCCUUACGGCCAGUGUGAGUUUGUGAAGGGGUUAUUGCAGGUAAAGCCUGGGUAGUGAUCGGCUGGGUCGAUUUUUGUGCCCCAAGUAGAGCAUGUGUAAUAGUCUGUGAGAUAGAUUCAGACAUCAGCCCCAUGGCUGAUGUGAGGGCCUUAGUCACAACAUGGGACAUGGUGUUGUCAAUCAUGUACUGCAUAUCAGCAGUAGGAUCAAAAUCAGCGGGGAUAGUCGCCCCAAUCUCAGGUACCCCUGUGGGUGUUUUAACAGACCCUAAAUUGGUAAUAAGAGACCCAGGAGGGGAGGGUAUAUCUUUGUCCCCAGGCAUAUUGUGUGUAUAACACUGGCACCACAAAUAAUUGUACUGAGCUGAUCUAAAAUGGGUUGAUUAACCCAAAGAGAAAGGGGGUAAUAUACCUUUAUGAGAAAAACAAAGUACUCACAAAAAACAAUUACAGUCACAAGAGAAAGGGUGAGGAGGGGGCAAGGAGCCGUCCGAUCGCCACUGUAGCUUUAACCCAACUCCGAGGUCCGGUAGUUGGGGGUGGAGCUACAUGCCGAGCGCAGGAAACCAGUAAAAUGGCCGCCGCGAGCGGUACUGGAGAGAAGAAAUUGGUAAGCUCUGCUCGCGGCGAAUGUGUAACGCUCAGCGCGAGUACACAUGCACGCGCCGCGAGCAGGGAGCCGGCAUCCGAGCUCAGUGAGCUCUACAGGUGGCGGCUGGUCACGGCGGGGAAGAAGAAAGGGGGGGGGGCCGCGAAGCGCCGGAUGCGGCUCCAGCCGACGUCCC